rnacentral:rRNA from 1 species
GAUGAACGCUGGCGGCGUGCCUAAUACAUGCAAGUCGAGCGAACGGACGAGAAGCUUGCUUUUCUGAUGUUAGCGGCGGACGGGUGAGUAACACGUGGAUAACCCACCUAUAAGACUGGGAUAACUUCGGGAAACCGGAGCUAAUACCGGAUAAUAUUUUGAACCGCAUGGUUCAAAAGUGAAAGACGGUCUUGCUGUCACUUAUAGAUGGAUCCGCGCUGCAUUAGCUAGUUGGUAAGGUAACGGCUUACCAAGGCAACGAUGCAUAGCCGACCUGAGAGGGUGAUCGGCCACACUGGAACUGAGACACGGUCCAGACUCCUACGGGAGGCAGCAGUAGGGAAUCUUCCGCAAUGGGCGAAAGCCUGACGGAGCAACGCCGCGUGAGUGAUGAAGGUCUUCGGAUCGUAAAACUCUGUUAUUAGGGAAGAACAUAUGUGUAAGUAACUGUGCACAUCUUGACGGUACCUAAUCAGAAAGCCACGGCUGACUACGUG